UCGAGAAAAUGGAGGCAAUAAUGGAGAUCACACAAGGGUCGAUUUACAUGAUUUCUGACCCCAAGUGAGACUUAUCAUAUGUCUUAUGCACCAAUAAUAUCGAAAUUUGGCCUCAACUCUAAAUGGUUCUCCCUCUCCUGUCACAGAUGGAAGCUUGGAUGUACCAACUAUUGAUGCUGCUACCCAAGUGAAAUUCCUCUUUCUUCAUUUUAUUACUUCUCCAUAACAUUUGCAAAUCCCAGUAAGAAGCACACCUUUCCUG